UACGUAGGGUGCGAGCGUUGUCCGGAAUUAUUGGGCGUAAAGGGCUCGUAGGCGGUCUGUUGCGUCAGGAGUGAAAACUCGGGGCUUAACCCCGAGCCUGCUUCUGAUACGGGCAGACUAGAGGUAUGCAGGGGAGAACGGAAUUCCUGGUGUAGCGGUGAAAUGCGCAGAUAUCAGGAGGAACACCGAUGGCGAAGGCAGGUCUCUGGGCAUUAACUGACGCUGAGACGCGAAAGCGUGGGGAGCAAACAGG
rnacentral:rRNA from 1 species